rnacentral:misc_RNA from 1 species
GUUGAAAUUUAUCCAAGAUAUGAAGUGAUAAUAUGAACCCUUCUAUAAAAUUUUGAAAUAAAUUAAUUGGUGGAGAAAGUUAGCUAAGCAUGAAAUUAAUUGAUUAGUUCUCCAAUGCAAAAGAAUUAUAUGUCUAUAUUUAUAAUUGUAAUUGUACACUUAGCCACUAAUCAUUUUUUUCUUUAGAAAAAGUUGAACUCAAAUGUUUGUUAUGUUCAGCUACUAAUUGAGUUAAC